CCUACGGGGGGCAGCAGUGAGGAAUAUUGGUCAAUGGACGAGAGUCUGAACCAGCCAAGUAGCGUGAAGGAUGACUGCCCUAUGGGUUGUAAACUUCUUUUAUAUGGGAAUAAAACGUUCCACGUGUGGGAUUUUGUAUGUACCAUAUGAAUAAGGAUCGGCUAACUCCGUGCCAGCAGCCGCGGUAAUCCGGAGGAUCUGAGCGUUAUCCGGAUUUAUUGGGUUUAAAGGGAGCGUAGGUGGAGUGUUAAGUCAGUUGUGAAAGUUUGCGGCUCAACCGUAAAAUUGCAGUUGAAACUGGCAGUCUUGAGUACAGUAGAGGUGGGCGGAAUUCGUGGUGUAGCGGUGAAAUGCUUAGAUAUCACGAAGAACUCCGAUUGCGAAGGCAGUUCACUGGACUGCAACUGACACUGAGGCUCGAAAGUGUGGGUAUCAAACAGGAUUAGAUACCCUGGUAGUC
rnacentral:rRNA from 1 species